rnacentral:rRNA from 1 species
CCUACGGGAGGCAGCAGUGAGGAAUAUUGGUCAAUGGACGAGAGUCUGAACCAGCCAAGUAGCGUGAAGGAUGACUGCCCUAUGGGUUGUAAACUUCUUUUAUAUGGGAAUAAAAUGUUCCACGUGUGGGAUUUUGUAUGUACCAUAUGAAUAAGGAUCGGCUAACUCCGUGCCAGCAGCCGCGGUAAUACGUAGGGGGCGAGCGUUAUCCGGAUUCACUGGGUUUAAAGGGAGCGUAGAUGGGUUGUUAAGUCAGUUGUGAAAGUUUGCGGCUCAACCGUAAAAUUGCAAUUGAUACUGGCAGUCUUGAGUACAGUUGAGGUAAGCGGAAUUCGUGGUGUAGCGGUGAAAUGCUUAGAUAUCACGAAGAACCCCGAUUGCGAAGGCAGCUUACUAAACUGUGACUGACAUUGAUGCUCGAAAGUGUGGGGAUCAAACAGGAUUAGAUACCCUAGUAGUC